rnacentral:misc_RNA from 1 species
CCAGCUUUCCACCACCCUUUCGCCACACCGCGCUCGACACUACACAGCGCGCACGCUCGGCUUCGCUAGCCGCCACCACCACCAAGCGACCUCUUCUCCAGCUCUCCUGUUCCAUGCACCACCGCUCGCUCCUUGUCUCCUAGCUAGACAGGGGCUUGCAUUGAGGCUGUCCUUGUGUUGCAUCAGGACGCCAGGCUUCUUUCUGCGGUGUCGGUUCGUCUGCUGUGAUGGAGAGGUGGGGGGACAAGGACAGGGGGGCGGCGGUUCCGGCGCCGGGGAGGUUGAGGCGGUACGCCGACCAGCCGUCCUUCUCGUCCUCGCUCCUCGACGCCAUAUACAAGUCCAUGGACGAGCCCGGCGACGGGGCAACAUCCGCCGCCGCCGCGGGAGCGACCAAGAUGCAGAGCCACCAGGACCUGCACUACAGCUACUACUACAAGACGUCGCUGGCGGGGAGCUACCGCGGCAGCAGGGCUGCGGCGGCGGCGCACGCCGCCACCACCACGUCGAGCUCCUCCGAAUGCUCGAGCUACGGUGGGUUCUCGUCGUCGGAGGCGGAGUCGUCGCAGCACCGGCGGCUGCGGCCCAUACGCACGAGCGUGGGCGCGGCCGCGUCGCCCGCGCCCGCGCCGGAGAAGAAGAAGAAGGCCGGCGCCAACAUCCGCGCCAAGCUGAGGGACCUCCGCAAGCCGGCGUCCCCCGGCGCGCGGCUGGCGGGGUUCCUGAACACCAUCUUCAGCGGCAGGCGCGCGCCGGCGACGCCGCCGUCGCGGGGCGCGGAGUCCUCCGCGUGCUCCACGGCGUCCUCGUACUCGCGCUCCUGCCUCAGCAAGACGCCGUCCACGCGGGGCCAGCCGAAGCGGACCGUGCGGUUCCUGGACAGCGACGACGGCGAGGCGGCGGCGGCGGCGCCCGGCGGCGAGCGGCGGAGGGUGCAGGUCGGGGUGGCGGAGCUGGAGCGGAUGCUGCUCCACCGGAUGGAGAUGGACAGCGACGAGGACGACGAGGACGAGGAGGGCAGCGACGCCAGCUCCGACCUGUUCGACCUCGAGAACUUCGCGGCCGGUGCCCCCGACGCCGCGGCGGCGUACAGGGACGAGCUGCCGGUGUACGAGACGACGAGGGUGGUGCUGGGACACCGCGCCAUUGGCCACGGGAGGAGUGCCAGGGUGGUGUGAUCUUGCUGCCUGCCGGGAUUCAUCCCGGUUCCGGAGCGCCAGGGUAACUGUAAAAUGGUGGAGUAACUGUAAGAUACAAGUGUUGGGGGCAACAAGUGUUUGCUACUCGUACUCGCAUCGUGAGAUCUCUGGGAGGAUAUUUCUUGGAUCCUUUUCGUGUCCUUGUGUGUGUGUGUGGUUAGUUCUAAUUUGAAUGGAGUAACUCGCUAUGCUCUUUUGCCCUCUUUCUUUCUUUCUUUCUUUUAUUUCUCUCGUCUCUGUUUUCCUUCACUCAUUCACGGACGCCAGAUGAUGAUGUUUACAGUCAUUUCUUUUCUUCAGUAAAUCCGGUAUCAAAUU